AUUGAACGCUGGCGGCAUGCCUUACACAUGCAAGUCGAACGGCAGCACGGGGCAACCUGGUGGCGAGUGGCGAACGGGUGAGUAAUGCAUCGGAACGUACCUUUCAGUGGGGGAUAACGUAGCGAAGGUUACGCUAAUACCGCAUAUUCUGUGAGCAGGAAAGCAGGGGAUCGCAAGACCUUGCGCUGAUUGAGCGGCCGAUGUCAGAUUAGCUAGUUGGUGAGGUAAAGGCUCACCAAGACGACGAUCUGUAGCGGGUCUGAGAGGAUGAUCCGCCACGCUGGAACGGAGACACGGUCCAGACUCCUACGGGAGGCAGCAGUGGGGAAUUUUGGACAAUGGGGGCAACCCUGAUCCAGCCAUGCCGCGUGAGUGAAGAAGGCCUUCGGGUUGUAAAGCUCUUUCGGCCGGGAAGAAAUCGCACGGGCUAAUACCCUGUGUGGAUGACGGUACCGGAAUAAGAAGCACCGGCUAACUACGUGCCAGCCGCCGCAGUAACAC
rnacentral:rRNA from 1 species